rnacentral:rRNA from 1 species
GACGAACGCUGGCGGCGUGCUUAAUACAUGCAAGUCGAACGGUAAGGGCCUGCUUUUGUGGUGUGCUUGAGUGGCGAACGGGUGAGUAACACGUGGGUAACCUGCCCUUUAGCUUGGGAUAACUUUUGGAAACUGGGGCUAAUACCGGAUAGGAGUUCAUGUUGCAUGGCGUGGGCUGGAAAGUUUCGGUGGGUGGGGUAGGAGGUGCGGCUUCUUUGCUUGUUGGUGGGGGAGUGGCGUACCAAGGCCUUGGCGGGUAGCCAGCCUGGGAGGGUGACCGGCCACAUUGGGACUGGGAUGCGACCCAGACUCAUACGGGGGGAAGCGGUGGGGAAUUGUGCACAAUGGGCGGAGGCCUUAUGCAGCAUCGCCGGGUGCGAGAUGACGGCCGUCGGGUUGUAACCCGCGUUCGCCUGUAACGAAGCGUGAGUGACGGUAAUGGAUAAAGAAGCACCGGCUAACUACGUG